ensembl:snRNA
GUGUUUUACAUAAGGAGAGGAGGUUAACACUGCCCUGGACAGGGACGGAAGUAGCCCUGGGGCUGACAACAUGCAGAGAGAAGGCAUGGCUACCUAAUGGCUGCCUACUUCCAGGCUCCUGG